CCAGCUUCCAAGAGUAGUGAUUCUUGAGUUUAAUUCAACAGAAUGGCUGGCUCAGUAGCUGUCAAGGUCUCAUGCCUGGUGUUGAUGUGCAUGUUGGUGGCUUCGCCCAUGGCAGUAGAAGGGUUGUCGUGUGGUGACGUAGCAACCCAGUUGGCCCCGUGCAUCAACUACCUGAGAAGUGCUGGCCCAUUGCCUCCGGCGUGCUGCAAUGGUGUUAAGAACCUCAAAAACUCUGCCGCCACCACACAAGACCGCAGGACCGCUUGCAAGUGCUUGAUAAAUGCUUCUAAAUCCAUCUCUGGUGUGAACUUUGGUCUGGCUGCUGGCCUCCCUGGCAAAUGUGGUGUCAACAUUCCUUACAAGAUUAGCCCCUCCACCAACUGCGACCAGUAUCUACCCUCUCUCUCUAUUUCCUUCUCUCCUUAUCUCAUAAGGAAUUAACAUGAAAUUUUACAUAUUUUCUAACUCGUGGUGUUUGUUGUUGCAGAGUGAAUUGAGGUGACUGGAGGAGCGAGGAACCUGUUUAGCAGCAUGAAAAUAAAGCGGACGUUGAGUCCAGUGCUCGGGACUUCACUCCAGCAAGUGACCUGUAGUAUUUGUAGUAAUGUGUGUCCGUGUCCCAUUCUACUUGUUUGCCAUCUAUCUAUCUGCUUGAGUGAGUGAGCGAGUGAGUGCCUAUCCAUGUAAUAAUUAUCCUUACGGGAACCAUGCUGGUCUACUUUUUUCUAUACCACUACUACUCUCUCUCUCUCUCUCUCUCUCUCUCUCUGAACUAAGGGGUACCCUAUAAUUAUCCUUACGGGAACCAUGCUUGUCUACUUUUUUCUAUACUACUCCUCUCUCUCUCUCUCUCUCUCUCUCUGAACUAAGGGGUACCCUACAAUGAAAUGAAAAGGGUUCCACUGCUAGGUAAGCGGCACAUGGGUGGGUGAGACAUGUGAAGAGAAGGGCACACACUCAUGCCAAUUGAACAUUAAUGGCUGGGAGUUGGGGCAGACAAAUCAUAUUUUCACAUAGGGCCACUUUCUAAAAGGAAAAAACUGGAGCUCAGCCCCAUUCUUCCGUAAGUAAUUGAAGUUUAUGUUACUGUAACAAUGCCCAACCACAUAGAUGACCAAACCCCAAUCGUUUCAAAAUCUUAGGGUUGUUUGUUAGCAGAAAAUAGAUUUUUUUUCUUUUCUUUUCUUUUUCCCAUAACAGAAAAUCGAAGAUGGAAUGUGAGUAAAAAGAAGACAUUAUUUCAUUUCCAAAAAUGAACAUAUUUUUGAAAUAUGACUAAUUGUUAAACACUCCCUUGUGACUCAUGUAUUUUCUUGGCCGUUCCAUUAAUAGUACACUAAUUUAAAAAAAUUAUGCUUAAAUUAUUAUAGUAGAAGAAGUUAUUACAAAUAUAUGAUAGUUUUUGUCAUAUAGAAGAUAGGAAAGAGGAGAGAGGAGAGAGGGUGAACGGAUAAUUUUUUUUAAAACCAAAAUCAUCUUUUCAAAUUUCAAAAGAUGAAAUCGUCUCUUCAAGAUACGAGUUUUCAUGAAAAAAUAUAUAUAUAUAAUUUUUUUUAAAAAUUCCCAAAUUAAAAAAAAAAAAAAAAAAAAAUCCUCAAGGAACUCGUGAAAAGACGAGUUCCCAUGAAAAAAAAUAUUUUUUUUUAAAUUUCUAAAUUACUAAAAAUAAAAAUAAAAAUAAAAAAUAUCUCAAGGGAACUCGUCUCUUGAAAAGACAAGUUCCCAUGAAAAAAAUAUUUUUUUUUUUUAAAAUUGUCAAAUUAUAAAAAAAUAAAAAAUUCCUCAAGGAACUCGUUUCUUGAAGAGACGAGUUCCCAUGAAAAAAAAUAUAUAUAUAUAUAUUUUUAAAAAAAUUCUCAAAUUAAAAAAAAAAAAAAAAAACAAUUCCUCUAGGGAACUCGUCUCUUGAAGAGACGAGUUUCCAUGAAAAAAAUAUAUAUAUUUUUUAAAAAAAAUUCCUAAAUUAUAAAAAAAAUAAAAAUAAAUAAAAAUUCCUAAAGGGAACUCGUCUCUUGAAGAGACGAGUUCCCAUGAAAAAAAAUUCCUCAAGGGAAAUCGACUCUUUAAAAAAAAUAUAUUUUUUUUAUAUAUAUUUUUUUUUAAAAUUCCCAAAUUAUAUUUUAAAAAAAAAAAAACAAUUCCUCAAGAGACGAGUUCCCGAAAAAAAAAUUUUAACAAAAAUUCCCAAAUUAUAAAUAAAUAAAAAAUAAUUGGGGAAUUUUUUUCAUGGGAACUCGUCUCUUUCCCUUGAGGAAUUGUUUUUUUUUUUUUUUUAAUUUUUAAUUUGGGAAUUUUUUUAAAAAAAAAUAUAUUUUUUCAUGGGAACUCGUAUCUUGAAGAGACGAGUUCCCUUGAGGAAUUGGUUUUUUUUUUUUUUUAAUUUGGGAAUUUUUUUUUUUUUAAAUAUAUAUAUAUAUAUAUAUAUUUUCAUGGAACUCGUCUCUUUAAGAGACGAGUUCGCUUGAGGAAUUUUUUUUUUUUUUUUAAUUUGGGAAUUUUUUUAAAAAAUAUAUAUAUAUAUUUUUUCCAUGGGGAAAAGACGAGUUCCCUUGAGGAAUUGUUUUUUCUUUUUAAAUAAUUUGGGAAUUGUUUUAAAAAAAAAAUUAAUGGAACUCGUCUCUUCAAGAGACGAGUUCCCUUGAGUAUUUUUUUUUUCUUUUUUUUUUUUAAUUUGGAAAUUUUUUUUUUAAAUAAUUUUUUUUCUAUGGGAACUCAUCUCUUGAUUCCCUUGAGAAAUUGUUUUUUUUUUUUUUUUUUUUAAAAAUUGGGGAAUUUUUUAAAAAAAAUAAUAUAUAUAAUUUCAGGGAACUCGUCUCUUGGAAAAAACAAGUUCCCUUGGAGGAAUUUCCUUUUUUUUUUUUAAUUUGAAAAUUUUUUUUUUUAGGGGAAACUCCCUCUAUUGAAGAAAACGAAGUUCCCUUGGAGAAAAUUGGUUUUCUUUUUUUUUNNNNNNNNNNNNNNNNNNNNNNNNNNNNNNNNNNNNNNNNNNNNNNNNNNNNNNNNNNNNNNNNNNNNNNNNNNNNNNNNNNNNNNNNNNNNNNNNNNNNUUUUUUUUUUUUUUUAUUUGGGAAAUUUUUUUUUUUUAAAUAUAUAUAUAAAUAUAUAUAUUUUCAUGGAACUCGUCUCUUUAAGAGACGAGUUCCCUUGAGGAAUUUUUUUUUUUUUUUUAAUUUGGGAAUUUUUUUAAAAAAUAUAUAUAUAUAUUUUUUCCAUGGGGAAAAGACGAGUUCCCUUGAGGAAUUGUUUUUUUUUUUUAAAUAAUUUGGGAAUUGUUUUAAAAAAAAAAUUAAUGGAACUCGUCUCUUCAAGAGACGAGUUCCCUUGAGUAUUUUUUUUUUCUUUUUUUUUUUUAAUUUGGAAAUUUUUUUUUUAAAUAAUUUUUUUUCUAUGGGAACUCAUCUCUUGAUUCCCUUGAGAAAUUGUUUUUUUUUUUUUUUUUUUUAAUAAUUUGGGAAUUUUUUAAAAUAUAUAUAUAUAUAUUUCAUGGAACUCGUCUCUUGAAGAGACGAGUUCCCUUGAGGAAUUUCUUUUUUUUUUUAAUUUGAGAAUUUUUUUUUCUAUGGAAACUCGUCUAUUGAAGAGACGAGUUCCCUUGAUGAAUUGUUUUUUUUUUUUUUUUUUUGUUUAAUUUGGGAAUUCUUUUAAAAUAUAUAUAUAUAUAUUUCAUGGAACUCGUCUCUUCAAGAGACGAGUUUUCUUGAGGAAUUUUUUUUUUCUUUUUUUUUUGUUUUUUAUAAAUGGGGAAUUUAAAAAAAUAUAUAUUUUUUUUCAUGGAACUCGUCUCUUGAAGAGACGAUUUCCUUUUUGAAAUUUUUUUAAAAUCGUCUUUUGAAAAGACGAUUUCGUCUUUUGAAAUUUGAAAAGAUGAUUUUGGUAUAAAAGAAAUUUAUCUGUUCAUUCACUCUCCUCUCUCCUAAGUAGCAAAAACUACCAUAUAUUUGUAAUAACUUCUACUACUACUAUAAUUUAAGCAUAACUUUUUUAAAUUACCGUACUAUUGAAAAAAGUCUGUUCCAUCAAUAUCUAAAAGUACACUAAGACACUUAAACCCACAACUACCCAUCUCCAAAAAUUCAAUAUUCUUAAAAGAACACCAAAUGCAGUUCUCCAAGGGAUAUUGAAUGAAUCCCUAUUUCUUAAAAUAGGGUUUAUCCAUUCACAACCAAUCAUAUAGAAAUUAUCACAUUUGGAUUCAAAAUGAUCCUCACCGUUUUAAAACAUAUCUACUUGGCUGAAGAAAUUAUCACAAACACCUUCCGUAUUAACACAUUUUUGUUGUAUAACAUAGAAUUAUAGGACCUCAUAUGGGCAAACAAACCACCUCAAAACAUAUUUUUAAAAUAAUAUUUUUUUUUAUAAAAAAUAUAUUCUAACAUAUUCUUUGAAAUAAAAAACUGUUUUGAAUUUUAAAAAUUAAACGUUGUUUUCAAAAACCCAUUCCAAACAUGGCAUAAUUUUCCUUUUUAUAUAUAUUUAGUUUAUUUCUCAUUUCAUGCCUAGUGGGGCCGGGGCAAUAAAUGGAUAUGUUUUCUACUAAGGUGAGAACCAAUUUCGUGAGUGGAUAUUUAUUAAAUAUUAAGAAUGUGUUCGGUAGUAAUACAAGAAAUUGUUUAUAUAUUUUUUUAAUAUUUAAAUUUUUUUAUAUUUUAAGUAUUAAAAAUAUUUUUUAAAAUUAUUAUUAAAUAUAUUUUAAGAGUAAGUUUGAUAAUAAUUUUAGAAAGUAUUUCUAAUAUUUUUAAUGCUUAAAAGAUAAAAGAUUUUAAAUAUUAAAAAAACUAAAAACAUUUUAUAAAAUUACUAUCAAAUACGUUAUAAGUUAAAAUGUGUUUAAGAAUAAUUUUAUAAAGUAUUUAUAGUAUUUUUAAUAUUUGAAUGAUAAACAAACGACGUUUUAAUUCAGAAUUCAGAGCUACAGGGACUUUUCUUAUCAAGAAGUGUAUGCAGCAUGAAUGAAUAUCAUGGUCACUGAUGGAUCACUAUCACCUUUGCAACAAUUGACUCGGAAAAUGACCAAAACACAAUGAAGACAUAAGAUGAAUAAGAAGCCUAAUGCUACUUUAUCUAUAAAAUAAUUUUUUAUUUGCAUGUACUCUAUACAUCAUGGCGCUACCUAUUCCUAGUAGGGUUCGAAUUUGUUCAACUCAACACUUUAUAAUUCUAUCUCAAAUUUGUUGAUUUUGGACUGAGACGGAUACUCCGACCAACUACUUCAAUACUUUGUCCGCUUGAACCUAUAAAAAGGUGUGCUUGGAUGGUUUUAAACAGACCUCAAUUUUUUUUAAGAAAUCUUUUCCGAAAACCUCAAAGCUGAUUUAAACAUCGAAGAGGUCCGUCCAAAAUCAUUUAAACACACAUUUUUGUUGAUUCAAGGGAAUGAGGCAUUAGAGUGGCUUUCUGAGGGCUCGGUAGCAAUCCAAAAUCAACAAAGUUUACCUUUUAAAAACAUGAAUUUAGUAUACAGAAUAUUCUCUGAUUUUUUUUUUUUUUUAAGUAUAUUUUUAUCUUAUGGGUAAAGUCUCUUUAAGAGAAGGAUAAUGAUGUGUUUUUUAGAGUUUUGGGGUAAAAUAACCCUUUUAUGUAAAAAAAUAUAUAUAUAUAAAUUUUAGCCCAUUUACAAAACUUAUGUUCAAAUUAACCUCUUUAUUACCACAUAGGAGUCAUAUCAUAUAUUUUUUUUUUUUCAAAAUUUAAGUUGAAGUUUCAAUUGCCAACUGAGGUUUCAUUUUUUAACUAAAACCUCAAUUGACAAUUAAGGUUUCAGUUAAUUUUUUAUUUAUUUUAAAAUUUAAUUAAAAAAUUAAAUUAUAAAUUAUUAUUAAAAUUUUAAAAAAUAUUUUAAUAAUAAUAAUUUAUAUAUUUAAACUUAAAUUUCUAAUAUUACUUCAAUAAAGAUAAAUUGAUAAAUAUAAUAAUAAACAAAUAUUUUAUUUAUCAAUAAAUUAUUAAUUUUAAAAUAAUAAAGUUAUAUGAAAUCUAAAUAAGAUAUAAAAUUAUAUAAUUUAUUAAUUUAAGAUAUUUAAUUUGUUGUAUUUUUAAGAUAUUAAUUUAUUUGUAUUUUGACAAAUUUAUCUUUAUUAAAAUAAUAGUAUAUUCUUAACUUUCGUAUAUAGAUUUUAUUAUUAUUAUUUUAAAGCAUAUAUUUAUAGUUUAACGUAAAAAUAAAUAAAUAAAUAAAUAAAAACUAUUAUUUGUACACACAAUAUAUAUGGCUUGAAGAUACAUUUUGAAAUUAGUUAAUGAAAUUAAUUAGAAAAAGUCUACUACAAAAUGUAAUUUUUAGUAGUUUCAUCAUAGUCACAAAAAAUAUCCAUUAAACAUUCAUAUAAUAGAAAAAAAAUGUCUCUCCCUAAUAUUAUAUGUGAUAUAACUUAAAUUAAUAAAUUAUAUGAUUUUAUAUUUUAUUUAUAUUUCAUAUAAUUUUAUUAUUUUAAGAUUAUUAAUUAAUUGAUAAAUAAAAUAUUUAUUUAUUAUAUUUAUCAAAUUAUCUUUAUUGAAGUAAUAUUAGAUCUUUAAGUUUAAACAUAUAAAUUUUUAUUAUUAAAGUAUAUUUUUUUAAUUUCAAUAAUAAUAAUUUAAAAUUUAAUAUUUUUAAUUAAAUUUUAAAGUAAAAAUAAAAUAAAAUAACCGAAGCAAAUUGGCAUAUCUUAUUUAAAUUUCAUAUAACUUUAUUAUUUUAAGAUUAUUAAUUUAUUAAUAAAUAAAAUAUUUAUUUAUUAUUGUAUUUAUCAAUUUAUCUUUAUUGAAGUAAUAUUAGAUCUUAAAGUUUAAAUAUAUAAAUUUUUAUUAUUAAAAUAUAUAUUCUUAAUUUCAAUAAUAAUUUACAAUUUAAUUUUUUAAUUAAAUUUUAAAAUAAAAAAAAUUAACUGCAACUUCAAUUGUCAAUUGAGGCUUUAGUUAAAAAAUGAAGCAUCAGUUGACAACUGAGACUUCAGUUAAAAAAUGAAGCCUCGUUUGGCAACUGAGGCUUUAAUUAAAAAAUGAAGUCUCGAUUGGUAACUGAUGCUUUAAUUCAAAAUUGAAGCAUCAGUUGGCAACUGAGACUUCAACUUAAAUUUUGAAGAAAAAAAAUAUGACUUAACUCUUAUAUGAUAAUAAAUGGGCUAAUUUGAACAUAAGUUUUGUAAAGGAGUUAAAGCUUAAAUUUUUUUUUACAUAAAAGGGCUAUUUUGCCCCAAAACUUUGUUUUUUAGCCUAUACUCCUAUAUAUAUUCAUCUUAUUAUUAAUCAAACUUUGUACUUGAUAUUCACUUCUCAACCAUCCUUUUUUUUUCAAAAAUCUCUAACCCUUGAACUCUGCGAUCUUCAAUUCUAUAAUUUUGGUUGAUAAAGUUUUCUGAAUAAAGAAGACAAGAGGAAUAUCUAAUUUAUACUUAGAUUAUUAAUUGUAAAAUGACUCUUUUAGAGUUUAAUUAAUUAAUUAAUUACUUCUAGUUUACUAUUUUGCCCCUAAUGUAAAUUUUGGGGUGUUACAGAGUAGGUGUCAAGGUCACAUGCCUGGUGGUCAUGAGCAUGUUGGUGGCUUCGCCCAUGGCAGUCGAAGGGUUGUCCUGUCAUCAGGUAGCAACCUAUUUGGUCCCUUGCAUCUCCUACCUGAUCUGGGGUUGCUGGUCCAGUGCCCUCGGUGUGCUGCAACGGUGUUGGGAGCCUCAAAACAUCUGCCGAAACCCCAGAUGACCACAGGACCGCUUGCCGGUGCUUGAUAAAUGAUGUUGCUUCCAUCCCUGGUGUGGACAUGGAUGUCGCUGAUGACCUCCCGGUAAAAAUUAAUGCUCUUUGUUUUAAAGGCCCAACCACAUUGGAGACCAAACCCCAAUCUUGUUCAAAAUCUUAGGGUUGUUUGGUAGCAGAAAAAAGGCAUGGGUCUAUGAUUACGAUAAAUAAAUAAAAAUUAAAUGAACAGUUAGGUAAGCAUAGUAAUGGAGCCAUUUAAGGCGUUUUGAAGUUGUGUAUUUUUUUAAAUUAUUUUUUAAAACAACGUAACAUCAAAAAUAACUCUUUGAAAAGAUGAGUUGAAUAUAAAAAUGAACUCGUUUCUUCAAAAACGAUUUUAAUAUAAAAUAAAGUAAACUCGUUUUUUUGACAGACGAAGUCAACAUUAAAAAUUUUAAAGUAAGAAUAAAACUUAUCUUUUGAAAAAUAAAUUCAGCGGAAAAACAAGUUUAAUAUAAAAAAAUGCAUUUAGUUUUUGAAACCACGAGUUUAGUAUAAAAUUUUUUAAAAAAUGAUAAAAGAUAUUAUACUUUUAUAUUUAUUUUUUUAAAAUAACAUUUUUUGAAAAAAAAAAAUCCUGUCGUUUAUAAAUUUAUUUUUUAAAAACUUUAAUGUUAUUUUAAUUUAGAUUUUGUUACAUCUACCAUAUGGACUCAGAUUUGACACUGAGAAUCAUACAAUAGCUUGAGAUUUUCUUUCCCUGGUCGUAACAACCCCGCCACAUUGUCAAAUUUUGAAAUGAAGGGAAUAUUGGUAAAUAUUUUCGGAUUUUGGCCCGUGUGGACUUCAAAACACAACCAGAAAUUUUUUUGGGAUAUUUUUCUGGAUUUUAUCAUCUUUUCCUUGAAGGUGACAAAAUUUGAUACAAUUUAUCGAUACGACUCAAACUUAACAUGUUUUUCACGGAUUUUGAUAGAGUAUAAUUGAAUUUUAGUUAAAAUCAUGUUAAGUUACAUAAAUCAUUUAAUAAAUAAAUAGGUUUUGGAGGCAACACAUAAAUGUGAACAAAAUUGACUUAUUUAAUAAUUCUAUUGAUUAUCUAAUUAUAAUUUUGAAUUAUUUAAUAGUAUUAAAUUUAUUUUUAAAUAAAUAGGUCAAUUAAAUUAUAAACAUGUUUAAUUGAAACAUUAAUCCUAUAGACGUGUAUAAAACCUAACCCAAUUUAAUUAUUAAAUGAGUUAAAUAGGUUAUAUAAUGUGUUAUCCAUUUAAUAGUCAAGUGGUAUUUGGGCUUAUAUUUUUUCUAUAAUAAUAAUUAAUAUUGGGUUUGGAUUAACCUUUGCGGUAAAAUACUUAAGUUUUGAUAUGAUACGAACAUGAUCCAUUAAUAUAAAUUAUCAUCUCUAAUAUUUCUCUUAAUAUUUGACAAAUUUGGAAAAUUCAUUAAAGAUUCAAACUAGUAAAAUUGAAUUGUAAAUCGUUCAUUGACUUUGUUAUUAUAGUGGAUUUUUCCUAUAUUCACAUAUAUUUAAAUACAAAAAAAUUAUAAACUUAUAAAUAAAAUUAUCAAUAUUUUUAAAUAAAAAAUAAUUAUACAUAUAUUAUUAUAUUUUUUAUAUUCUUAAAUACAUAUAAGAAUAACAACAGGUGAGCUCGAGUGGAUCACCACGUUCCAACUUCAUCCCUUCAUUCAAAAUAAUUCUUAUUUUCGUUUUAUUUAAAAUUUAAAAUGAGAUGAGAGUAGUAUGAGGAAUUCCUUACCUCAUCUUAUUUAACUAUUUUUAUUAAAAAAAAAUUAAUUACAUUAAAAUAAAUAUAUUUUAUAAAUAAUUAAAAUAUUAUAAUUUUUUAUAAUUUAUUUUAUUUAAAAUAUUUUUAUUAUUAUAUAUUAAAACAGAGAAAUAAAAAUUAAAUUAAUUUUAUAUAUAAUGGAAAUAAAAAAUAUCUAAACUUGUUUCGAGUUUUUAAAAAAAAAGUCUCAAACACAUCCUUAAUCGUUUAUUUAAAUUUCAAAUAUAUAAACAAAUGUAUCCCAUUAAAAACAAGAUGAGAUGGAUACUCCAAAAAAAUCCGCCAUUUGUAACUUUAAAGACUUGAUUACCUCUUGCAUGGCACACGUAGCCUACGGGCCCAGGGCCGCUGGGCUUGAAAUUCAAGGAGUGUACACAUCAACCAAUUGGUGGA
rnacentral:lncRNA from 1 species